rnacentral:lncRNA from 1 species
GACAAGUUUUAUUUAUUCAAUAACUGUCUUUUAUUGGUUUGGUUUGCUCCUCUUUCUUCUCCAUUUGCCGAAGCUUUUGUUUCCAUCUCACUAAUAUUAAAAAAAAAUGAGCACAAGGUUUGUAGGUUAUGAUUUUAUUUAAGAAUUUCAUGAUAUUUGAGUUUUUCCUACCCGAUUUGGUUCAAUAUGUUGUGGUGAUGUUUUUUUAAGACCAUGUGGAUUUUUCUCUUGGGUGUUGGCUUUUAGUAUAGUUUUUUUUAUAUGAAAUUUGAUUAUGCAUCAAUUUGUUGUAGUCGACGAUUUUUUGACGAUGAGAGGGUCCAUUUUUCUCUCUCAUGUUUCUUUCUAAUUAUGUUCUGAGUUUUUUUUCUUCAUAAAUCUGAAGUAUUAAUUCUUUUUUUUUUUCAUCAGGUGUUUUGGUGUGUGUACUUUUAGCAGCCUUGAUUUAUUAAAACAAGGUAUGCUUUUAAAUUACCACUUUUUCUUUCCUCAUAAGGCAUCAUUUCUUAAAGAACACUUAUUUCAAUUCUUUUUUCCAUAUUAUGUAUUUUGUUUGUAGAACUUAAUAUUUUCUAAUAUUUGCCUUUUAUGAUCCACAAAUGCAAUUACAAUAUAGCACCAUCUCUUCAAGAAAGCUUCUUUUAAUUCAAUAGUUCAUGAGAUAACUAUCUUUUCUUGACGCCUCAUUCGAAAAAAUAAUAAUUCCAAUUACUUUCUUGAAACGGAUACACCCAAUGGAUUGGGUGGGGCAGCCGGAGGCGGUGGAAUUUUCCUGGCCGGCAUGGCCAUUGUCGGAGUCGUCUUUGGUGUUCCCUGAUAUCUCAUGACUCAGGGUGAGUUCCUCUUUCAAAUCUCUACUUCUAUUUUCGUAUUUCAUCCCUUUAUUUGAAUUUGGGGUUGAAUUUUUGGUUGUUUUAAUUAGUGGACAUUGAGAGUAAUUCUGGAUUUUUUUCUUUCUUACAAACUAUUUACACCGGCAGUGAUUUUUAUUUAGAUUUUGAUACCUCAUAGGUGAAUGUUUUGAGAAUUUGAGUAAGCAAUAGUACUAUUGCAUUUGAUUUCUAAAAAUUUGUAAGAAAUAAAUUGAUAUUUCUCUACAAGGAUUUCUUCUUUUUGCCUUUUGAUUUAGUUGUUUUCUUUUUUCUUUCUUCUCUGCUUUUCACCUCGCAUUUUCUCUAAACACCUGAAGAAUCAGGCUUCCACUCUAAUAUAUGCGUUUAUUUCUAGAAAACACAAUCAUGGCAUUUUUGUGAUGAGUUCAUUAGGAAACACAAUCAUUGCAUUUUUGUGAUGGUGGUCGAUCAGUUCGGCUACUUUUAUGGUUUUAUAGAGUGGCAAGAUUCGGUUUUGGUUUGAAGUUUUCAUCUAGGUGCUAAUAUUUUGAAUGCUCAUUUUUCCUGGAAUUCAAGAACCAAAUGGAGAAAUUAAGAGGGAACAGAAGUUCGAUGUAGAACUGAUGGUGAUCGAGUAUUUUAAAUUCGUUAACAAUGGUGCACUGAGAAUGGUGGUGCGUUGAGAAUUAUAUUUGGUGGAAAUACCAUAUCCUUUGGACUUAAUUUGUUUUGUUUCUUUUAAUGUGUUUCAGAAUAAUUCUUAAUGUCCUUUCCACAAUAUGGAUUUGUUAUACCUGCAAAUCUGAUCGAGGUUUUUUAAUUUGUAUUCUAAUAAAAAAUCUCUUUUGUCUUUUUAUGUGUAGUGGGUAGUCCAAAGUUAUUUUUAAGCUACUGUGAAAGGUGUUGAAUGAGAUUUUGAAGGUAAAUUAUUUAUAUUCAAUUUGGAGUGUCUUG